AAAUUAAAGGCUCCUUGACUUAUAUUAGCUGCAUGCCUAUGGUUAUUAUUCUUGUUAACUGUCUGUGCACUACAAGAAAUUAGAGUAUUAAUAGCAUUAUAAUAUAGCGUUUAAUGUUUUUUUGCUAUAUUUGAUAUAUCCUCUAAUUUUUUUUAUAGCGUUUGCUAAAGUGUAAACGCUAUGUUUUUUUUUCUCACAUUCUCUGUCAAUUCACCAAAUUUAGAACCAGGCUUCUCCUCCGAUUAAAUCCUUUACCCAGAUUUAAAACCAGAUAGAUCAUCUUGAUCUACUUUCUCCAUAUAACGAAACCCUAGUUACGCCUUUUCAGUAGAUACAGAUCUUUUAUCUUGUCUUUCUCUCCCUUUCACUCUUUCUUUUAAAAUCGAUCCCUAGCCACUUGUGAAGCAAAAGAGAUAGGGAUUUGAAACCCUAGCCACCAUCGCACAUAUCUCUCUUCGUAUCUGCUAGAUCUGUUCGUUUUCUUCCAUCUGUAUUGUGAAACCCGAGAUCUAGUGAUAUCCGUACAAGGUCUUCGUUUCUUUAAGAAAAGCAUUGUGGGAUUGAUUUCAAGAAGAACAUUGAGAAAGGACCGUAAGUGAAACGUUUCAAGAUGAAGAUUUUAAUCUGAAUAAAAAAAAAAAAAAAGGGGCUAAAGUUGAUUUUCCGAUGAGAAGAAGUGGCAAGUGUUAUUUCAGCCCUAAUCUUCUUUAUAAUGUCUUCUUAAUGAUUCGAUGAGAAGCAAGGCAAGUGUAGUUUCUUAUGUUCUAUGUUUCUUAUAGACAGUUAAAAGCCAUCGGAAAUUGCCAGACAUAAAAGUAUGUUAAAAAAAUUCGGUGUCGUGAAGCUUCUUCUCAGGGACUCCUAAGAUUUGGACUACAAAGACGUGUUGAGUGGAGGUGGAGAAUUUGAAGUGAUUACAAGUCAUGGUCAAGGAAUGUGUAUUUUUAAAGAACUGAAGGCUCAACUCACCGAAGGUCUUGUUAAGCUUCAUUCAAACUUGUUCUUUGAAUUUUUGAUGCCGAUGACAAACAAGACCAAAUGAGAUAACUCAAUGCGAAGAAGAUGGAGAAGAAAACAUAGGGGGUGAAUGAUUACGUUUGGGUUUAUGUAGUUCUUUAAACUCCUUAUCUAGUGUUUAUGACAUGUAGAAUUUGUGUUUGUGGCUUUCUGACAAUUAACGAAGUAUUUGGAUAUUAAAUACACC